rnacentral:rRNA from 1 species
CCUACGGGGGGCUGCAGUGGGGAAUAUUGCACAAUGGGCGCAAGCCUGAUGCAGCCAUGCCGCGUGCGUGAAGAAGGCCUUCGGGUUGUAAAGCACUUUCAGCGGGGAGGAAGGCGGUGAGGUUAAUAACCUCAUCGAUUGACGUUACCCGCAGAAGAAGCACCGGCUAACUCCGUGCCAGCAGCCGCGGUAAUACGGAGGGUGCAAGCGUUAAUCGGAAUUACUGGGCGUAAAGCGCACGCAGGCGGUCUGUCAAGUCGGAUGUGAAAUCCCCGGGCUCAACCUGGGAACUGCAUUCGAAACUGGCAGGCUAGAGUCUUGUGGAGGGGGGUAGAAUUCCAGGUGUAGCGGUGAAAUGCGUAGAGAUCUGGAGGAAUACCGGUGGCGAAGGCGGCCCCCUGGACAAAGACUGACGCUCAGGUGCGAAAGCGUGGGGAGCAAACAGGAUUAGAUACCCGAGUAGUC